GCAGUCAGGACUUAGCUUCCCAGCUGUGAUCUAAAUCCCAGCCUCCCAAAGGCACAGCGCCUAAGUUCUCCCCUGCCAAGCUCACAGCCUUCUCCUUGGCAGGCUGCCCUUUCUCCUGCUGGACCAAACCAAGGAGCACGGUGACCCAGGGACACCACACUCGGUGUCAGCCUCUGAGGCCAUGGAGCCACGCAGACCCAGCACAGGAUUAGAAACAGACCUUCCCGGGAGGCAGAGAGCCAGGCCUCCUGGUUUAUAGCAUGACAAGGCAGCACUCAGGAGGACGCAUCAAUCCUUCUCCAUGUCAGCACCUGUGACUGUGACCACUGGUGAGGUGGACAUGCUUCUUUUUCCAUUUUACAGAUGAGGAAACUGAGGCCAAGGGAGGGUCAGCAGCCUGCCCUGGGCUGACUGGUGAUGCAGCGAGGGUGGGGUGUGGGAGGGUGGCGGCGGCCCUUGCAGUCCCUGGGAACCUGCACCUCUUCCUGGGCGCUGUUCCCCUCUCUCUCCCAGGACCCUUGGGCCUGGCGUUUCUUCACCUGCGACCAUCCAGGAGCUGGACCUGCCCUAGGGCGUCAGUUUCCAGGGAAGCCUCUGGCCUGUGUGUGAGCCUCCCCACCUGCCCGGCCACGGCCUCCACAGGCGCCCUGCGCAGCCCCGCCCCUCCUGGGGCAAAGGCUUUGCGAAGACUUUCUUCUCUGGCUCAUCCCUUUAAGGAGGCAUAAAAACGAACCCCGGGCCUCACAGGUCCGGAAUGCGCCCCCCUCCACGAUGGGAGCUUCUUGGCCUUGGCUGUGCAGGGGCCGCGGCUCCUGGGGGUCUGGCCGGAUCUGCAGUAGUGCUGAAUGAGCUGUGGCCAGGAAGACGCAAUGAAUAAUUGUCACUUAAAAGGAUAAACAGAAAUUCCAUUUCCCUUUUAAAUACUUGAACAUUUCAAAACAUCUGGAGGACGCGAUGCUUUUCCUUCCAAGCAUCUCCGUGGAGUUUUGUGGGUUACCGCAGAGGAUCGGCAGCAUUCCUCUCUCAGGGAAAACUGGCCUGAGCAUUGCAUAACGCAGGCAGACUGCACCCCUCACGUCGCCUGGGGCCACAUGCACAUGUUUCCAAGAGACUUGCUGGAGAAUCUUCCCCGGAUCUUGACAAAGUUGGACAUGGAAAGCACGUUGGUCCAUCCAAGGUCCACAGAGCGACCCUGGCUAUGAAAAAUCAUCCUCCGAGUGGGAGUCUGUCUGCCAGGAGUGAGGUGACACCGCACAUGGCCUCAGGAGCUGGAAACGCUGGUGAAUUCAGAUGCAGCCAAAGCUUCUAACUUAGUCACAGUUAUUAAUUAUUCUUGGUCUUAUUGGAGCAGGAACCACUGCCAUGCAUCAGGCCAGCAAGGCUCACUCCCCACCGUAGGAUCCCUGUGUAGACGGUCGCUCCAUCAGUGUAGUUGGGUGUGUGGAGCAAGGGACUGGGCUGACCCUACCUUCCAAGCAUCGAUGUGGCCUUCAGCAGAGCAGGAGGAGAUAGCCCAGGACUUGUACUUUGCAGUUGAAGUGCCAGACCUAAGAAAUGCAAACCUGAGGAUGGAAAGAGGGUGGAGAGGGGGGAGGUGUCUGGAUUGGCCGUCCAGAGCAGCCCCAGCUGCAGCAAGUGGAACUUGGCUGGCUGCCUCACAGGCCUGGUGGCAGCGUCCCCAGCGAGGAGCCUGUCCCACAUAUGAAGGUCCCCAUACCCUUAGCCCCUAGCUGAGAGUUUCACUGACCAGAGCUCCCUGAGUCCAGGGCUCCACUCAAGGGACUGCUGUCCCCGUUGGUGAAGAAGGCCUGUUGGGGCCAAUGCUUCCCCCCACAGGGAAGCGGAGCUGUAUUUUGUCGGACAGAACUUUGCAAGCCUGAAACAGCUGGUGGUGGCCCCAGAGCCAAGAUCUGACCUCACUCCAGAGUUGAAGGGCACAGAGAAGGCACAGCUAGAGGCGGCAGGUACCCCUCAAAGCUCUCGGGAGAGGGUACAAAGUGGGACCUCCCAGCACCCUUGGCCUCCAGGCCUCAAAAGCCCUGAGAGGGCUGCAUGCAAGGAGACAAAGCUGGAGAAGGAUGUGGGAGGCAGGUGGCUAAGAAGACAGGCUGGAAAGGGACGUGGGAGGUAGGUGGCUUUGCUCUAAACAGAAUCGUCUCAGUAAUGUGACACUGCACAUGUAUAGGUAGGCUCGCUCAUGGGCAUAACCCUCUAAAACACACCUUUUAUGGAGUGAAAUUCACUUAACAGCCAUCUUGAAGCAUAUACUUCGGCGGCAUUUGCUGGAUUCACGACGUUGUGCAACCUCUGCUUCUCCAGUUUCAGAACAUUUCAUCCCUCCAGAACAACAGCUCAUCCCCAUUAAGUAAUCACUCCUCAUUCCUUCCCCAUCCUCUGGAAACCACAGAUCUGCUUUCUGUCUCUAUGGAUUUGUCCGUUUUGGAUAUUUCAUAUAAAAGGAAUCACGCGGUGUGCGAACGUUUGUGUCUCACUUCUUUCGGUGGAAGCCACAUUUCCAAGCCUCAUCCCAGUGGUGGCCCCUGAGUCCCCUCAGUGUAUCAGUGUCUCACUUCUGUUCACAGAUGCAUAAUAUCCCACCCCAGGGACCGGGCACCAUUUGUUAAUCCCUUCACCUGUGGUGGACACCCGGUCGUCUCCGCCUGCCGAGACCAGCUCGGUCAGGGAGACCCUAACCCAGCGGCGCUAGAGGAAUUAAAGACACACACACACACAGAAAUACAGAGGUGUGGAGUGGGAAAUCGGGGCUGACAGCCUUCAGAGCUGAGAGCCUUGAACAGAGAUUUACCCACAUAUUUAUUGACAGCAAGCCAGUGAUAAGCAUUGUUUUUAUAGAUUAUAGAUUUAAAGGCAUUCUUUAUGGGAAAUAAAGGGAUGGGCUGGAAAUAAAGGGAUGGGUUUGGCUGGUUACCUGCAGGAGGAGCAUGCCCUUAAGGCACAGAUCGCUCACGCUAUUGUUUGUGGAUUAAGAAUGUCUUUAAGCGGUUUUCCGCCCUGAAUGGGCCAGGCGUUCCUUGCCCUCAUUCCGGUAAACCCACAACCUUCCAGCGUGGGCGUCAUGACCAUCAUGAGCAUGUUACAGUGCUGCAGAGAUUUUGUUUAUGGCCAGUUUUGGGGCCAGUUUAUGGCCAGAUUUUGGGGGGCCUGUUCCCAACAUCCGCCUUCCAGCUGUUACGAAGGACGUAGCUACGAGCGUCUGUGUGCGCGUUUCCGAGGGAACAGGUUUUGUUUCCAUGGGGCGUGUGCUUAAGGGGUAAAUGCUGAGUCCCAUGCUAAGUGUAUGCCUAAACUUUUUCAGGAACCACCAAAGUGUUUUCUGCAGCAGCCACACCAUUUUACAUUCCCACUCCACAUUCUCGCAUUUUUCUACUUAAAAAAACUCCAGGCAGAGGGAACAGAACAGGUAAAGACCAGAGGCCCAGUAGGCGGUGCUUGGCUGGAGCUCACCAGGGGCUGGACCAGAGGACACGAGAAAGACGGGAGUGGAAGCUGAUGCCCAGUGGUGGAUGGCAACGAGGGCUCGGGUGGCUGGGCCGUGUCGCUUAUGCAGAGGAAACGGAGAUGCUUGGAAAUGCUUUGCAGAGGUGAGAAUAUGGCUUGUUGGGAGAGCGCUUGUGUAUCUGGAAUUAUCUGAGGCCUGGAGGAGUGACACCAGUGACAAAGCCUUUGCAGGACACCCAGGAGGCCAUGGGAGUUGUCAGGUGGGACUGCCAUGAGAGAGGGCUGGAGAGAAGAGGCGGGCAGAGGACACAGCCUGGGAGCAUCUGCAGUCUGGGCAGAGGCGGAAGCAGCCUUCAGGGCGGUAGGUGGGAAGGAGACAGGGCAGAGAGGGUUAUCCAGGACUCUGGGGAGAAGAGGCAGGUCCCAAGUUGUUUACCAAGAAUUUACAUUAAAAUAACAUAAGCUAGGCUGAGUGUUGUCACACCUGUAAUCCCAGCACUUUGGGAGGCCAAGGCAGGCGGAUCAUUUGAGGUGAGGAGUUUGAGACCAGCCUGGCCAACAUGGUGAAACCCCGUCUCUACUAAAAAUACAAAAAAUUAUCCUGGUGUGGUGGCGUGUGCCUGUAAUCCCAGCUACGCUGGAGGCUGAGGCAUGAGACUCGCUUGAAUCCAGGAGGCAGAGGUUGCAGUAAGCUGAGACCACACCACUGCACUGCAGCCUGGGUGACAGAGCAAGACUCCGUCUCAAAAAAAAAUAAGCUAUUGAUGGGCUAUAUAUUGUUAAGCUAUAGGGUGUGGUUACAGUGUCCAGUGUAGCAUUGUUCGAUUAAUUUAUAGCCUCUUGUGGCAACAGCAAGCAGUUUCCAGAGAUGAAUACACAGCUUGAGUAGGCAGGGGGGAGUAGGACAUGACGGCUGCCUCAUCUUAACACCUUGGGCCUGAUAAUUUAAAAGGACUCACAGUCCUCAGAUAAACAUGACUUUCUUUUCUCAUGAGGAAACAGAGAAGGUGGCUAAAGGGUAUCUCUUUCUCUCAUGAUCCCAAACCUAUCAGGUUUUUAUUUCCCACACCACCCAGUUUUCCAGCUCCUUGGAUGCCAACUGGAUGUCCUGGAAUUCCAUUCAAUUCUGAGACUAACAACCUGGGUUGCAGUGCACCGUCCUCCCUCCCGGCAUCUGGAUGAAUUCACCACCCUGGGAGUUUUUGGAACCCCAUCAUUUAGGAUAGACAUCCUAAAUUAUGUGUACCUCAUGGAGGUUCCAUUAUGUAGGUGUGGGGCCAAGGGAGAGCUUUUCCCUCAGCCUUACAAGGGUUCUCUGAAAAGUCAACUCACAAAAAGCAGAUUAACUGGAGAAAAGGCACACAAAUUAAUGUGUAUACAAGGGACCCUUCAGAUAAACAGCUCAUUUUUAUGCUUAGGUUCAAUGAAGUAUGGGCAGCCAUGUAGAAAUAGGAUUGGAGGCUUAGCUGGAUCUGAUGCUAAUGGACUGAGUGGGGAAAGCCAGCCUGGUCUGUGUGUCUGGAUUCUCCUUGGCCUCUCUGAGCAGCGCCCUCUCCUUCUGGGUGUGGGUGGGACCCUCUCUGGAAUGGGGGUCUUAGGAGCUACAGCCAAGCCAGGUAGGUCAGACCAUUUCUUUAUGGCCAGUUUGUACACACAGAGGCACAGGGAAAAUUAGAGCCCUAGUUUUUGGUUGUAUGGCUGGCUUUGGGGAAAGGGGUUCUGGUUUCUAGGACCCACUGUGGGGAAGAAGGAUUCCCAUUUCUAUGGCACCUUGAGUGAGAGUGGUACUGAGACACAGAGGAUGGGAGAAGCUCAGACAGAAACUUGCUUCAGAGGCUGCUGCUGGGGCCCUCAUUUUGGAGUAUGAUCUUCUAAGCCCCAACACAGGCACCAAAAAUAACGUCCUAAGGCCCCCAGUGACUACAUGGACCCGCUCUUGGCCAAGGGGACCCCAGAGAAACCUGGAAAACAGUUCCCGGCCGCAACAGGAAGGGAGAUUGGACGCCUGGCUGUUCCCACUCCCUUUGGAAUUUAGGCAUUAAUGUCAAAACAGAGAUCAGAAGGCUGACAGAACUGACCGUGGCAAUAAGAGCCCCAGUUACAAACAGGACCCAAGACCAUGUCAGACGAGGGUUAAGUCAAGUCAUGCACCCUGUUAGUCACCCCUGCCCCAUGUUUCGGGUGCAGAUGUCCUCAUCGCUGACUCUAGGUUUUAGAUAAAGCUUUGCUCCUUUAACCAGCCGCAAACUGAAGACUCUCUGAAUCCACCUAUAACCGAUAAGGCUUGCUUCCAGAUAUCCCGCGUGUUCGAGCUGAGCCAAUAUAUAUCUCGUCCACCUGUAACGCCUGUCCCCUAAAGUGCAUGAAGCCAGACUGUAAUCCAGGCACCUCAGGAACACUCACUCUAGGCUUCUUGGGUUUGUUUUUUCUCCAAGCUGUGGUCACCGUAUUAGGGGUCCCAAUAAACCUCUUUAAAAUGUU
ensembl:lncRNA SWINGN SWI/SNF complex interacting GAS6 enhancer non-coding RNA